UGCAAGAGUAUACUGGGAACAGGCAGCAGCUGAAGUAGGCUAUUUCAGCUGCUGCCGAUUCUCAGUAUUCUCUUGCGC